rnacentral:rRNA from 1 species
CCUACGGGGGGCAGCAGUGGGGAAUAUUGGACAAUGGGGGCAACCCUGAUCCAGCCAUGCCGCGUGUGUGAAGAAGGCCCUCGGGUUGUAAAGCACUUUCAGUGAGGAAGAACGCCUGGUGGUUAAUACCCAUCAGGAAAGACAUCACUCACAGAAGAAGCACCGGCUAACUCCGUGCCAGCAGCCGCGGUAAUACGGAGGGUGCGAGCGUUAAUCGGAAUUACUGGGCGUAAAGCGCGCGUAGGUGGCUUGAUAAGCCGGUUGUGAAAGCCCCGGGCUCAACCUGGGAACGGCAUCCGGACCUGGGAAGCGAGCGUGUAGGAGAGGAAGGUAGACGGCCCGGGGGAGCGGUGAAUUGCGGAGAGAUCGGGAGGAAGAGCAGUGGAGAAGGCGGACUUCUGGACUGACACUGACACUGGGGUGCGCAAGCGUUGGUAGCAAACAGGAUGAGAUACCCUGGUAGUC